GUUCGAGACCAGCCUGACCAAUAUGGUGAAACCCCGCCUUUAAAAAAAUAAAAAUAAAAAAAAGACAUAGGUCAGAUCAAUUGAGCAGGACCAAAGAGUUGGGCUGCCCUGGUCACGUAACUGUGAUUAUUUCCAUUGUUUCUUCAUACACAGCUAUGUGACACAGCUUGCCCUUUAUAUCUGUAAAGGAGUUAAAUCUGUGGUUAAUUUGUGCGGCAUCCUCUCGCGGGCUUUUCUAGCCCUUUGGAAGAUCCCACUUGGAGGCAUUAGACAUAAUGGAAACUCAGGGUAUUUCUUUGCUUCUGAGUUGUUGGAAAUGAUUAGAUUGAAACUCAAUGUGUUGUUUUCUUUUCCCACCCCCACUCUUCAGAGAGAUAUCUGUGCCUUCUUUGCCGCAUUUACUGCGAGAAUGAAGACCAUUCUCAGCAAUUAGACUGUCGACAUUCCGGAAAAUGUCGACAUUACUCUGAAGGGACGCACAGUUAUCAUGAAGGGCCCCAGAGGAACCCUGCGGAGGGACUUCAAUCACAUCAAUGUAGAACUCAUUCUUCUUGGAAAGAAAAAAAAGAGGCUCCGGGUUGACAAAUGGUGGGGUAACUGAAAGGAACUUGCUACCGUUCGGACUAUUUGUAGUCAUGUACAGAAUGUGAUCAAGGGUGUUACCCUGGGCUUCCGUUACAAGAUGAGGCCUGUGUGUGCUCACUUCCCCAUCAACGUUGUUAUCCAGGAGAAUGGGUCUCUUGUUGAAAUCCGAAAUUUCCUGGGUGAAAAAUACAUUCGCACGGUUCGAAUGAGACCAGGUGUUGCUUGCUCAGUAUCUCAAGCCCAGAAAGAUGAAUUAAUCCUUGAAGGAAAUGACAUUGAGCCUGUUUCAAAUUCAGUGGCUUUGAUUCAGCAAGCUACAACAGUUAAAAACAAGGAUAUCUGGAAAUUUUUGGAUGGUAUCUAUGUCUCUGAGAAGGGAACUGUUCAGCAGGCUGAUGAGUAAGACCUUAGAGUUGUCCAGCUACAGAAACAAGAUGCCUAUCGUAGCUAAGACCUACUUGUGAUACUUAUGUGAUGCAAUAAAAGACCUAUUGAUUUGGAAAAAAAAAAAAAAAAAAAAAGGAAAGAUAUCUGUAUGUACAGGAUGGGAAUACCAUUGCCGGCAUGCAGUUUAUUCUUUUCUCCAAAGGUGUUUAUAUUAAAUAGUUCUGCUAUAACAUGGCGUAAGCAUUCCUAACAAUUACCACACUACGCCAAUUGCUCAACAAAAGCCAUAGAGAUUAUGAAAAAAUUGGAGUUAGGUAUAAAACAUUCAAAACUGCAUUAGUUACUCAUCACCAAAAAAAAAAAAAAAAAAAAAA